AGCUCCAAUAGCGUAUAUUAAAGUUGUUGUGGUUAAAAAGCUCGUAGUUGGAUCUCAACAGCCUUGAAGCGGUUAACUUUGUAGUUUUACUGCUUUGUAGGCUGUGCUUUUGCUGGAGGUUUAGGGGUGCUCUUGAUCGAGUGUCUCUGGAUGCCAGCAGGUUUACUUUGAAAAAAUUAGAGUGCUCAAAGCAGGCUAAAAUGCCUGAAUAUUCGUGCAUGGGAAUAAUAGAUAAGAAGUCGGUCCUAAUUUGUUGGGUUUCGGGACCUCGCCAAAUGGAUAAAAGGGGCCGUCGGGGGCAUUUGUAUUCAAACGACAGAGGUGAAAUUCUUGGACCGUUUGAAGACAAACUACUGCGAAAGCAUUUGCCAAGAAUGUUUUCA
rnacentral:rRNA from 1 species